rnacentral:rRNA from 1 species
GAUGAACGCUAGCGAUAGGCUUAACACAUGCAAGUCGAGGGGCAGCAUGGUCUUAGCUUGCUAAGACUGAUGGCGACCGGCGCACGGGUGCGUAACGCGUAUGCAACUUGCCUCACAGAGGGGGAUAACCCGUCGAAAGACGGACUAAUACCGCGUACACUCCAUCUUGGGCAUCCAAGGUAGAGGAAAUGAAAUUCGCUGUGAGAUAGGCAUGCGUCCCAUUAGCUAGUUGGUGAGGUAACGGCUCACCAAGGCGACGAUGGGUAGGGGAACUGAGAGGUUGAACCCCCACACUGGGACUGAGACACGGACCAGACUCCUACGGGAGGCAGCAGUGAGGAAUAUUGGUCAAUGGGCGAGAGCCUGAACCAGCCAAGUCGCGUGAAGGAUGACUGUAUUAUGGAUUGUAAACUUCUUUUAUACGGGAAUAACAAGAGUCACGUGUGACUCCCUGCAUGUACCGUAUGAAUAAGCAUCGGCUAACUCCGUG